rnacentral:lncRNA from 1 species
GGUAUAAUGCUCCCCAAUCCGACCACGCGACCCAAAAUAUAAGCUAACACAUCCAGACUGUCAGAAAAUAACAAACCGGAGCUUGUAGACGGAGAUGAAGAACAUGAGAGUUCCGAAAACCCUCAAUACAGGCUAGUCCCACCAUUGGCAAGUCUCAAUCGCCAGGUAUCAAGAGAUAGAAACAUCGGGCCUGUCCUCAAGGAACCCUAAGCAUCCAAUCACCUUAAACGCAACAGAAAGAGAACUAAACCAAAUUGACAGGAGAAAGCCAUGGGGAUGAUACUUGAAACUAGAUACAG